UCCCGAAGCCGGGCGGGUUGUGGCGUGGCUACAACGCCAGCUCUGGGGCCGGUCCCGCCCAGAUGGGGCUCACAGGAUCCCUGGAGCUGGGUUUCGGUUUUGCGAGCACUCGCAUUUCCGUGGUCGCUGUGCAUUUGCGCUAUAGCUCCCUGGCCUCCACCAGGCAGUUUAUCCACAGAACUUGAGGCCGGUGGGGAAAAACGGGGGUCCUGUCUGCCUUGAAGAGAUCCAGUUGCUGAACUGAUAGAGGUGGACUGCUUUCCCUGCAGUUGUGGGGCACAGGAACUGACUGACAUGGCUACUAGGACUGGGAUCUGGUUUCAGCUUUGCCUUGGACUUGCUGUGAGACCUUGGCCAAUGCCUUUUCCUCUCUGGGACAGUCUAACAUCCUAUCUCCACAAGGAUGGGGGAAAUAUUAGGAGUCCAAAGUUGGCUGUUUAAUGUUUCUGGCAGUACCCAAGACUCGGAGCGAGAUUUAAUGAUUCCAGGAAUGCCUCCCGCAUCAUUGGCGAAUAUUUGGCCGGAAAUUGGUCCAUGGCAGCGGAAGACAUGAUCCAGUCUCAACUAACCCAGAUAGCUGUCUUGAACAGUACCCGUGUCAAUCCCGUGACUUUGGGUCAAUUCACCGAUUGGAUAUCUUCUGCUUUUUCCUUCUUCAAAGAGUGGGUGGGGGUAGGCAUUUUUGGUGCAAUGUGUUGCUUCGGUAUGUUCCUCUGUUUGUGGUUUCUCUGUCGCCUUAAGGCCCGCAGUGCUCACGAUAAGGCUAUGAUCAUACAAGCUCUUGCAGCUUUAGAAAAUGGCAACUCACCUCAUGUCUGGCUUGCGCAUCUUAAACAGUAAACCUUUGACAUGGUCGUUACACCCCAAGUUAUUAUAACAUUGCACUGGGAUCGACAUGACUUUCCUUGUUAUUCUCUUAGUGUUGGAAAGCCCUUGCACUCUGCCGGUCUUACUGCCAUUGCACGCAGAUGGGUUUCCACACUAGUGCUUUUCUAUCGCCUUAAAGUCCGUGCCUUUCUUUCAGGGUGCUGUCAACUUGUUUGUCGUUAUAAACAGCCACAGUUCAGCCUCAGCUAUCUCCCUUCAUCCACCAUCGUCACGAUACAGGAUGCGAGGCAAGGCACUGCACUUGAGUGAUCCUUGACGUGGACCUCAAGGAGAGCAUGUCCUAUUGCAUGCGGGUUAGACGCGUCCACGCCCCGCCCCAUGAAAAAAGGCGUCGGCUGAUAUGGCCUCAGAUCUGGGGAAGGGCCCUCCUUAGGACUGAGCCAUACUAUGCAGCCACUUCUGCACAGUGGGAUAGGACCUCUACUCUCGCCUGUAUUGUUUUAAGAAAACAGAAAGGGGGAACUGUGGUGAGCCGCUUCUGCCGUUUCUGCAGACUAUGGUCGCCAUUACAAGAUGGCGCUGGCUCCGCUGUGGUCUGUGACAAACAACUCCUUAUUUGGAAGAGUUGGCGCAUGGUUUUUCACCACCCUAUGAGAAAGCUCCACAUGGCAGCUUUGCAUUGGGGCUUGAGAUGCUUUAUUAAGGCUGGGAGGGGCAUCCGAGAGAGAGAAGAAGAAAUAUCAAGGGCCUGAAUAAACUGCUGAAAGAAGAUUCCUGAGUUGCGUCUUCCUUGCGGGCAAGGGGUCGCGACAGGGAAGUACACACUGGGGAUGAAAAUCCCAAUCCCCAUUUGGCCUUCUCUAACACCACCAGUGGGGAGGUACAGGGAUAUUUAGGUGUUUAUUCCAGCUUGAUGAGGGCAGAAAUAUUGACUCCUAAUUUGGCCUUUGUGGAUUGG